UGGCAUCUUUAAUAAACCCCCCAGUUGCCAUGUGUGGUGUCUGGGACAAGAAAAGAUGCAAGAGCAAUCUUAGAACAUCCAAAACUGAGAGCCAGACAUCUGUUGCUCUUGGUUAUUUCACCUCUAAGACACAAUU